GAGAGUGGGUAGUCCGCACGAGCGCACCUUACUUUUAGUUGCCAUCAUUUAGUUGGGCACUCUGAAAGAACUGCCAGUGAUAAGCUGGAGGAAGGUGGGGAUGACGUCAAGUCCUCAUGGCCCUUACGUGUUGGGCUACACACGUGCUACAAUGGUAUCUACAACAGGAAGCAAAACAGCGAUGUUAAGCAAAUCCCGAAAAGAUACCUCAGUUCGGAUUGCACUCUGCAACUCGAGUGCAUGAAGCCGGAAUUACUAGUAAUCGUGGAUCAGCGUGCCACGGUGAAUACGUUCCCGGGUCUUGUACACACCGCCCGUCACACCAUGGGAGUUGGUUCUACCUUAAGGCAAAGCUUAAAACCUUUGACCACGGUAUAGUCAGCGACUGGGGUGAAGUCGUAACAAGGUAGCCGUAGGGGAACCUGCGGCUGGAUUACCUCCUUUCU
rnacentral:rRNA from 1 species